rnacentral:tRNA from 1 species
GGAGAGAUGGUCGAGCUGGCUGAAGGCACCGGUCUUGAAAACCGGCGUGGGUGUACGCCCACCGUGGGUUCAAAUCCCACUCUCUCCGCCA